rnacentral:rRNA from 1 species
UUCCAGACUCCUACGGGAGGCAGCAGUGAGGAAUAUUGGUCAAUGGCCGAAGGGCUGAACCAGCCAAGCCGCGUGAAGGAAUAAGGCCCUACGGGUCGUAAACUUCUUUAGUCAGGGAACAAAGGGUGCCACGUGUGGCGCUGUGAGUGUACCUGAAGAAUAAGCAUCGGCUAACUCCGUGCCAGCAGCCGCGGUAAUACGGAGGAUGCGAGCGUUAUCCGGAUUUAUUGGGUUUAAAGGGUGCGUAGGCGGACGCUUAAGUCAGCGGUAAAAUUGCGGGGCUCAACCUCGUCGAGCCGUUGAAACUGGGUGCCUUGAGUGGGCGAGAAGUACGCGGAAUGCGUGGUGUAGCGGUGAAAUGCAUAGAUAUCACGCAGAACUCCGAUUGCGAAGGCAGCAUACCGGCGCGCAACUGACGCUCAUGCACGAAAGCGUGGGUAUCGAACAGGAUUAGAUACCCUAGUA